rnacentral:lncRNA from 1 species
CUGGAUUACAUGUAAAUAAAACAGAUUUGUAAAUAAAUGUAUAUAAUAAAGUGCUAUUUUAUAACCUUUUAAGGAAGUUAGCGUACAAAAAAUAUCAAUCAGUGUGCAAAAGUAAUCAACUGCAUUAAUCUUGAAUUAUAUACUGUGGACUCAUUAUUAUUCGCUGAAUACCAAUUUUGUGGAGUUUGUUGGUACAGGUGAACCACGAAAAUUAAAUGGUUAACGAAUGACAAAUUUUCUAUUGGCUUGUAUGCAUUCUUAGGCAAAACCACGAAAUUAAAUGUCCACGAAUAUGUAAGUUUUCCUCAAUUCAGGAAAAUUGGUACCCACGAAAAUAACUGAAUCCACAGUAAUUCCUUUUCUGAAUGUUUAAUAUGGAUUUGUAUAUUUAUUUGGUCAUUUUUUUAAACUAACAAAAAAAUACCUCACACUUGUCUAUUGUUUUCUCUUUAAUGUAUUUUUGUGUAAAAACUCAUGACUGCAUUACUGAAUUUGAAAUUAUAUCUGGAGUUCUCUAAAUCAAGUUAUAAUACUAUAUCUACUAAUUUCUGUUUAGCAAUAGCUUGAAAGUUUUCUCUUUUAGCUGAUGAAGACAUUUUUU